CACGUCAGUGUGCUUUGCUGACGUGGCAGAAAAUCGCGUCCACGUAAGUGCGGUUUGUGUCCACAUCAUCAAAGCGCACUGACGUGG
rfam:Gossypium hirsutum cultivar TM-1 unplaced genomic scaffold scaffold280.1, whole genome shotgun sequence